GAUGAACGCUGGCGGCGUGCCUAAUACAUGCAAGUCGAGCGAACGGACGAGAAGCUUGCUUCUCUGAUGUUAGCGGCGGACGGGUGAGUAACACGUGGAUAACCUACCUAUAAGACUGGGAUAACUUCGGGAAACCGGAGCUAAUACCGGAUAAUAUUUUGAACCGUAUGGUUCAAAAGUAAAAGACGGUCUUGCUGUCACUUAUAGAUGGAUCCGCGCUGCAUUAGCUAGUUGGUAAGGUAACGGCUUACCAAGGCAACGAUGCAUAGCCGACCUGAGAGGAUGAUCGGCCACACUGGAACUGAGACACGGUCCAGACUCCUACGGGAGGCAGCAGUAGGGAAUCUUCCGCAAUGGGCGAAAGCCUGACGGAGCAACGCCGCGUGAGUGAUGAAGGUCUUCGGAUCGUAAAACUCUGUUAUUAGGGAAGAACAUAUGUGUAAGUAACUGUGCACAUCUUGACGGUACCUAAUCAGAAAGCCACGGCUAACUACGUG
rnacentral:rRNA from 1 species